AGCGAACGCUGGCGGCAGGCCUAACACAUGCAAGUCGAACGAAGUCUUCGGACUUAGUGGCGGACGGGUGAGUAACACGUGGGAACGUGCCUUUAGGUUCGGAAUAACUCAGGGAAACUUGUGCUAAUACCGAAUGUGCCCUUCGGGGGAAAGAUUUAUCGCCUUUAGAGCGGCCCGCGUCUGAUUAGCUAGUUGGUGAGGUAAAGGCACACCAAGGCGACGAUCAGUAGCUGGUCUGAGAGGAUGAUCAGCCACAUUGGGACUGAGACACGGCCCAAACUCCUACGGGAGGCAGCAGUGGGGAAUCUUGCGCAAUGGGCGAAAGCCUGACGCAGCCAUGCCGCGUGAAUGAUGAAGGUCUUAGGAUUGCAAAAUUCUUUCACCGGGGACGAUAAUGACGGUACCCGGAGAAGAAGCCCCGGCUAACUUCGUGCCAGCAGCCGCCGUAAAAC
rnacentral:rRNA from 1 species